UCCCUGGUGGUCCAGUGGUUAGGACUCUGCGCUGCCAACACAGGGGGCCCAGGUUCAAUCCUUGGUCGGGGAA